CCGGUAUGGUAUUUGCAAGUUUGGGCCUGCUUGUAAAUUUGACCAUUCAAUACAACCAGCUUCAAUGACAGGGUCUGCUGAAGAUCAGGGUACCCCCUUCAGUGACUCUCUGGCUAAAGACGAGUCUAGGAUGUCUGAAACUGGAAAUCAAAGUGACACUGCUAUUCAGCAGCCUGAGUAAAAUUUUUGCAUCAAUGGACCUAGCUCUUCAGGGUCAACAACACAGAGGAUUUGUAAUUUAAUCCGUGAAUUUGGAUCUUUUAUUUGACCUUUACUCUGGUUCAUCUGCCACAAGCUUUUGAAACCGUGGCGUUAAAUAUUUAUAAUGGGUUGUGUUACUGCAGCCAAAAGUGUAAUCUGGAUAUGUAAAUUCUCUAUUUUAUGUUCUUUACCAGCCUUGUUUAUCUAUUUAAGUUGUCAUUUACCAACUCAUACACAAGCAGCUUGAAUUAUUCUUUUUUAACAUCAAUUUUUGACACGUUGUCCUUAUUAUCCUAGCCAGGCAGCCACUUGCUGCUGAAUUAGAUGACAACGCUACUACCUCAGCAUAUUUCAGGCUAAGAAAUUAAAUGCCAG
rnacentral:misc_RNA from 1 species